rnacentral:rRNA from 1 species
UGGGGAAUUUUGGACAAUGGGGGCAACCCUGAUCCAGCAAUGCCGCGUGAGUGAAGAAGGCCUUCGGGUUGUAAAGCUCUUUUGUCAGGGAAGAAACGGUCAUUUCUAAUACAGAUGGCUAAUGACGGUACCUGAAGAAUAAGCACCGGCUAACUACGUGCCAGCAGCCGCGGUAAUACGUAGGGUGCAAGCGUUAAUCGGAAUUACUGGGCGUAAAGCGUGCGCAGGCGGUUUUGUAAGUUUGUCGUGAAAUCCCCGGGCUCAACCUGGGAAUGGCGAUGAAGACUGCAAGGCUGGAAUCUGGCAGAGGGGGGUAGAAUUCCACGUGUAGCAGUGAAAUGCGUAGAUAUGUGGAGGAACACCGAUGGCGAAGGCAGCCCCCUGGGCUAAGAUUGACGCUCAUGCACGAAAGCGUGGGGAGCAAACAGGAUUAGAUACCCCCGUAGUCC